GAUGAACGCUAGCGGCAGGCCUAACACAUGCAAGUCGAGGGGUAACAGGUUUAGCAAUAAAUGCUGACGACCGGCGCACGGGUGAGUAUCGCGUUUGCAACCUACCUUUAACUGGGGGAUAGCCCGGAGAAAUUCGGAUUAAUACCCCAUAACACUAUUAGGAGGCAUCUCCUUUUAGUUAAAGCUCCGGCGGUUAAAGAUGGGCAUGCGUGACAUUAGUUUGUUGGUGAGGUAACGGCUCACCAAGGCUACGAUGUCUAGGGGGGUCUGAGAGGAUGACUCCCCCACACUGGUACUGAGACACGGACCAGACUCCGUACGGGUGGCUG
rnacentral:rRNA from 1 species